AGCGAACGCUGGCGGCAGGCCUAACACAUGCAAGUCGAACGAAGUCUUCGGACUUAGUGGCGGACGGGUGAGUAACACGUGGGAACGUGCCUUUAGGUUCGGAAUAACUCAGGGAAACUUGCGCUAAUACCGAAUGUGCCCUUCGGGGGAAAGAUUUAUCGCCUUUAGAGCGGCCCGCGUCUGAUUAGCUAGUUGGUGAGGUAAAGGCUCACCAAGGCGACGAUCAGUAGCUGGUCUGAGAGGAUGAUCAGCCACAUUGGGACUGAGACACGGCCCAAACUCCUACGGGAGGCAGCAGUGGGGAAUCUUGCGCAAUGGGCGAAGCCUGACGCAGCCAUGCCGCGUGAAUGAUGAAGGUCUUAGGAUUGUAAAAUUCUUUCACCGGGGACGAUAAUGACGGUACCCGGAGAAGAAGCCCCGGCUAACUUCGUGCCAGCCGCCGCGGUAAGAC
rnacentral:rRNA from 1 species